UGGGGAAUUUUGGACAAUGGGCGAAAGCCUGAUCCAGCAAUGCCGCGUGUGUGAAGAAGGCCUUCGGGUUGUAAAGCACUUUUGUCCGGAAAGAAAUCCUCUGGGUUAAUACCUCGGGGGGAUGACGGUACCGGAAGAAUAAGCACCAGCUAACUACGUGCCAGCAGCCGCGGUAAUACGUAGGGUGCAAGCGUUAAUCGGAAUUACUGGGCGUAAAGCGUGCGCAGGCGGUUUUGUAAGACGGAUGUGAAAUCCCCGGGCUUAACCUGGGAACUGCAUUCGUGACUGCAAGGCUAGAGUAUGGCAGAGGGGGGUAGAAUUCCACGUGUAGCAGUGAAAUGCGUAGAGAUGUGGAGGAAUACCGAUGGCGAAGGCAGCCCCCUGGGCCAAUACUGACGCUCAUGCACGAAAGCGUGGGGAGCAAACAGGAUUAGAUACCCUGGUAGUCCACGCCCUAAACGAUGUCAACUAGUUGUUGGGGAUUCAUUUCCUUAGUAACGUAGCUAACGCGUGAAGUUGACCGCCUGGGGAGUACGGUCGCAAGAUUAAAA
rnacentral:rRNA from 1 species